AAAAUUUAAAAUUAAAAUACUAAAAUAGUAAGUAAAUUUUUAUUGAAACUUAAAUAAUUUGGCGGUAUUUUAGUUCAUUUAGAGGAAUCUGUUUAAUAAUUGAUAUUCCACGAAUAAAUUUACUUAAUUUAUAAUUUUGUAUAUCGUUGUUAAAAAAAUAUUUUUUUAUAAAAUUAAUAUUUAAAAAUUAUUAUAAAAAUUUAAAUCAGAUCAAGAUGCAGGUUAUAAUUAAGAAUAUAAUGGAUUACAAUAAAUUUAUUUAAAUGAAUAUUAAUUUGUAAAAAUUAAUUGAAAGUGGAUUUAAAUGUAAUUUUAUUUAAUUUGAUAAAAUGAUUAAAAAUUAAAAUAUGU
rnacentral:rRNA from 1 species